UCGGGAAUUUUGGGCAAUGGGCGAAAGCCUGACCCAGCAACGCCGCGUGAAGGAUGAAGUAUUUCGGUAUGUAAACUUCGUAAGAAUAGGAAGAAUAAAUGACGGUACUAUUUGUAAGGUCCGGCUAACUACGUGCCAGCAGCCGCGGUAAUACGUAGGGACCAAGCGUUGUUCGGAUUUACUGGGCGUAAAGGGCGCGUAGGCGGCGUGGUAAGUCAUCUGUGAAAUCUCCGAGCUUAACUCGGAACGGUCAGAUGAUACUGCUGUGCUAGAGUACAGAAAGGGCAAUCGGAAUUCUUGGUGUAGCGGUGAAAUGCGUAGAUAUCAAGAGGAACACCUGAGGCGAAGGCGGGUUGCUAGGCUGAUACUGACGCUGAGGCGCGAAAGCUAGGGUAGCAAACGGGAUUAGAUACCCAUGUAGUCCCUGAGCGGGCUGGCAAGGCGCAU
rnacentral:rRNA from 1 species